rnacentral:misc_RNA from 1 species
UUAUUGUAAUUUAAUUAGGAUUAAAAAAAGACACUUUGGUUUGUUAGGAUAACUUUUUUAACUUGGAAUUUCGGUCAUUUUAGCUGUUGCCUACCAUCCAAAGGUUUGCAGGUGAAACCCAAAGUAUUUUGCUUGGCAAUUGAAAAACAUUGAUCAAGAAAGCUGGCUCAUCAGUAAUAUCUCUUGUAUGUAUGGUGUAGUGUUAAUUGGAGCAAGAAACAAUGAAGGAAAGAUUGGAGAAAGUUUAGUUUGAAAAGGACUUUUCAUAGAAUAAUAAAAAAAGGGAUUUGUGGAGCGAAUCCUGACUUAGUUUAAGACUGACUUGUAAUUGAGUGAAGUUGAUAGUGAAAUUUAAUAUGCUGCGUGGAGAGUUUGUGUUCCACAUAAUCAUUCUGCAAUUGCAAUUGCAAAUGCAAAUUGGGGAUGCUUGUUAUUUUUAAUCCUUGAGAUUUGGCAACAUAAUUUAUUUUAUUUCUUGCUACUGUAUGAUUUAUUUACUUCUUUGUACUCGUCUUUGUUAUUGAACUUCUGUCUAAAUUAGCUCUUAUUUUUAAUAAGAACAUUGGCUUAAAUAUAAGCUUUUUCCUUGUUUCCCUGGAAAAUAAUGUGGUAACUUAGAUGCUGGAUAACACCUACCCUUUUACUUGUAAUGGUUUCAUGGACUUAGAUUAUUUGGCUGGUUAAUGAUUAAGCAUGAGAUUUACUAAGUGCAUAUGAUAGGUCAAUAAAACAUCCCAAGGAGAAGCAUUUACAUCUUCAUGCAUGCCUUAACUAUCUUAGGGCCUGUCGGAGAACGUUGUGUUAGUGGUAUAAAAUCGCUUUUUGGAAGUUUAGAAUAAGUUUAAAAUGCUGCUUAGACUGAUGCUAGUUUUUAAGUUUGCAUAAUAUCUUACAGUUGUGAGCAUGGAUAUGCAGGGUUGUUGAAAUGGAGAGUCA